rnacentral:piRNA from 1 species
GGAACCUAGAAGAACUUUUCUGU